CUUUACGUUAUAAGUCAGUGUCUGAGAUUGCUAACAUACGCUGACCCGAAAAAAGUCUACAAAUAUUUUAUCGGUCCACAAACUGCUCCCUCUUCACAGUGAUAAAAAUGUGCUAAGAGAUAGUUCGGGACACAUCUGUGACACCCAAUAAUGUCCUUUUUUAAAUUCUUUUCUUUCCUGCAAUCAUCUCUACAGUAGGUCUGGUCCUCUGAUGCUAUUUCAGUUAUACAGCAUGCUAUUAGGAGAGAAUGGGUUGGGGCACCCUGGGGAAAAUUAAAGAAGAUGAUUAGUGAGGGGAAAGACUUUUCUCUAUACCUCUCUCUCUCUCUCUCCCUCUCUCUCUCUCUCUCUCUCUCGGGUCACUAGUAGAUUUAACCCAUAGAUUUAACUACACGAUCUGCAGUGGAUCUGCAUGAAUUGAAAUGCUUCACAUUCCUGGAUGAGCCUUUACCCUGAUAAAAAAAAAAAAAGAAGAAGAAUUUAAUCGAGAUGUUUUUAGUAUCAUUGAUUGUCAUGAUAAAUUAUUUAUCUUUCCAUUAUAACUCUGCUGAUGGAAAUCACCUCUAUACAUCAACUUUGAGUCAGUUUAAUAUGAAACUCUACUGACUUUUACUACAUAUAUGACUGGAUUGGUUAUCUGUCGUGUCUUACAUUAAUAAUUACACACCCAGAACUUCUGAGUUCAAGAGGAGGCUUUGGUGUAGGAGAGAAGAAGGAGAAAAAAGUUGAAUCUGCAUCACAUUAAGCCUUAAAGCACCUGAAGCCAUUUGCAGUCGUUGAAUACUAAUCAUGUUUAAGAGAUCAUGCAUUCUGUUUGUUCUAAAACUAGGGCCUGCCUGGAGCUGUUGGACCAAAGGGUGAGGAGGGACAGCGCGGAGCACCAGGAGACCCUGCGAAAGGCAUACUUGGACCUCCUGGGAAAAAGGGCGCACGGGGGGAUAUCGGUCCGGUCGGACCUCCUGGGCUUCAGGGAAUUAAAGGUGUCCAAGGAGACAAAGGUGAAAAGGUAAAGCCAUGUUUGUGUGCACAAAUUGCUGAUCGCUUUAUUAAGGAAUGCUUCGACCGUGUGUAUUGACUUAUCGUUUCUGCGGUUGUUAAAGGGCAGU
ensembl:lncRNA